ensembl:lncRNA
AAAAUAGUCAAAAUAAAGAAAAACCCUUGAAUGAGUAGGUGCUCUAAAACGUUUGACCGGUAGUGUACAUGUAAUGUAUAGCCCACAGUGUUAAACUCCUCCUCAUGGCUGUUAUAGAGUUGGCGAAUACUCCACUAUCUCCUUGAUUAAACUAAUGUCAAAUCCCAACAGCUUUCUCUUGUCAUGCCAUCUGCAUUGAGAGUAUACAUCAAUUCAAGGCCAUGAAGAUAAUAUGCCAUCUUCUACAAAGUGCUAUUCUGUAAAGUACACCAUCUUCAUUUACAUAGGAAUGCUCAUGGGCUACCCCUUGUUCAUUGCUGUCAUUAGUUUCUGUCUUUCCACACAAGAAAAUGCACUGCUUAAAAGUGCAAUAUGCAGAAAUCGCUCUGCCAUUUCCUGGUUGUUCUAAUUCUAAUAGUUUGCUUAAUUUCAGUUAAUGUGACAAAACAAGUGACCUAAUGUGUAGAGAAACAUUGUACCAUCUAAAUCGCUGUGAAAUAUCUUUUCAAUUGUUUUUCAGCUGUUUGAAGCUGGUGUACAAAGCCGAAAGUAAAAGAUGCGGAAACGAAACGGGAAGCAUAAAAAUAGCGCACUUCUACAGCUUCUUAGACUUGCUUUCAACGAUAAUGACAGAUCUAUCACUCACAUUUCUACGUCAAUUUGGUCGACCAAAAAAAAAAAGACCUACUGCAGCUUUAAAGUCUUGAACUCCAACCACAACACUUGCUGGCGUCAAACAGCAUGUCAGAUAUUCAAACCUUGUGUACUUUUCUUCUCUUUGUAAAAUUAACAAUCCAAUCCAGUCCAAUUUGAGUUUGCAAAGAAACAACAGGUUUUAUUUUGAUUGUUUAUCUUUGUUGUUGGCUCUAUAAAUGUUAAAUGUACUCACUUCUUUGGUAUCAUUAUGUACAGUCUCUUUGGUCAUUAAGUGGGGUCCGAAAUGAUUGACACCCUUGAUAAAGAUUAGCAAAAAUGACUGUAUAAAAUAUCUCAUUCAAAUAUUGAGCUGCUGUAUAUUGUAUGCAACAAAAAAGUGGGAAAUUAUAUUAGUUUAUACCAAUACAAUUUCUCAGAGAAAGAGAUUUUGUUUUUUUGUUGAAUUCCUCAAAAAAGUAGGGGUAAAAAUUAUUGACUCCCCUGUUUUCAAUACCUUUCAAUACCUAACGGCACUGAGCCUUAUUCUAAAAUGUUUUAUGAGUUGGAGAACACAUUGGGAGGGAUCAUUCCUCCUUACAGAAUCCUUACAGAUCCUAGAUAUCUAUUGCACAGAUGCUCAUGGACUGCCCUUUUCAAAUUUAAACCACAGCUUGUAGUACUAAAAAUCAGAAAUUAGUUAGCAUUUUCCAAUGAACACUUCGCAAUGGCCAUCUACACCAUGGACUUAAAACCCAUUAAAAACCUGCGUUUUGUAUUGAAGGGAUAUGUCCAUGAACACAGACAAAGGAUAUCAAGGAUUCGGAAUCAUUAUGUAUGGAGGAAUGGUCUAAGAUCCUACCCAAUGUGUUUUCCAACUCGUAAAAUAUUUGUUUUAAAGGCUGUCGUUAUCCUUGCAAGGUGAGGUAUUGAAAACAGGAGUCUUAUUCAUUUUGACUCCUACCUUUUUGAGAUAAAAAAUAUUACAUUACUUGUUAAUAUUUUUGUAUAUAAUUUAGCUUAGUAUUUUAAUAAUUUAUUUUAUACAGUCAUUUUUGCUCAUCUUUAUCAAGGGUCUCAAUAAUUCCGGACCCCACUGUUUAGUACAAAACGAUGAUUGCCCAACAAUUGUAAAUUCAGAGUAAGUUGUAGGGUGGGUGUAUAUUUUAUUACUCAAAAUCUGAAUAAAAAGAACUGCAUUACUGUGAAAUAUUCCCAGAGAGUCAGAUCGUUUAAAAAUUAUUUAGAGAAUUGCAAGAAAUUAAGAACCUUUUCUGACAGAGAACUGUCAUAUCCUGCUGAUUGAUUGCAUUGAUGGUCCAAAAUAAAUGUGAAAUGCACCUUUACAUGAGUGAGUCAGUCAAUUGACUUUGGGUAUGUUAAAAGAGAAGAAUAAUACAAAUAAAGUUGGCAAGAUAUCUAUUUA